rnacentral:lncRNA from 1 species
GUGUUUACAUGACAAGAGCUUCUGCAUAUAAAGAUGCACUUAAAAGUUUCAUACAAGGAUAGAAGGUAUUCAACAAACCAUGGAGAAAAAUAAAGACUCUGAAAUCUUCCGAAGACACUGAUGCAUCCAAUUCCAAAGGACCAACUUGAGUUCUAACAAUUUGUUAGUUAUCUUUUGCCAUACCAGCUGCAAGAACUUGUAUUAUGUCUUUCCUUGUCUGCGACAAUCAUGUUAAUAAGUAUACCAAUUAUAUUUUUUUACAUAACUAGAAUGGUAUCGAUAAAAGGGAUGAUAUUAAAUGAUAAUACUCGGGUAUGCUACCAGUUUCUGGGAACUACUUUAUUUUGCUAUAUUCAUUGUACUGUUGUUGGAAGUUAGUUCGGUAAUGUUCUGACUGUCUCAUGCCUGAACUUUUCUUAGGUAUUUGCUGGUGGCUAUAUGUAGAUGCAUUGCUUAUUCUUACAGUCUUGUUGAUGUAUUGCUUGAAACCACAAGGGAACACCACCUCUGUGCUUGACAGCAUUGUUUAUGUUUAAAUUCAUUGAGGGUGUAUGGUUCGGAAUUCAACAGGGAAGAGGGGAAAGGGGAGACAUCAGAUGGAAUAAUCCACCAAUGUGCAUUUCUUCAAGCUGCAGAAAUUCCCUUCAUGAAGCAUGUACAUUUCAAAAAACUUCAUGCCACCUUGGGGAGUGGCUAUCACUUUGUCCAUUAAGAUAGGUCUCUGUAACUCGGCCUAUCUGUCACUGUUUGUGGGAAUCUUUAUUAAGUAAUUGUUGCCGGGGUCAUGGGUGGCUCAUGGCUGCUUGGUUGAAUCCAUCAAGUACAUUGGUUUUUAUUUUAGCACAUUCUAAUAAAAAUUUCCGACAAUGUCAGGAAAUCAUAAUUCUAUCUUUAUCAUUGGUCCUUCAUAGGCAGAAUUCUUCUAAUGGUUCUCGUUCUCAAACCAGUGCUACUUAUUUCAAUCUUCAUUUUGUUCACAACAAUUGAGAAUACUUUGUUUGGAAGGUAUCUGCAUCUUCAUGUGAAUAUUGUUACCCUUUCCAGGAUUAAAGGUUUUCCUACCCAGAAUUAUCAACAUGGCUUUUACCAUUAAUUUGUCUUGAGGAAACACCAUUUGCUUCUCUCCAAGGCGUAAAAUGCAAGGAAGUUGCGUUAAAAGCAUAUAGCUUAAGGAAAUUGGAAGUAAAGGAAGGAAACACUUUGCUUCUCUUAGAGUUAUUCUUGUACUUGGUUUGACGAUUGACUUAUCCUUACCAGAGGAGUCAAUUUUGUAACUGGUCGCCAGUUGUAAAUUCUAAUAUACGUCUGGUGACCUCCCACUUGCAGGAGCACUAGAAUUUCGUGAGAUUCCUAACAAAAACCAAUGGGUGAUAAUCUUCCCGUCUUCAUUUCUUAAUUAAUGGUUGACUUUGACUGAGGUAAUGCUACCUUGCUUUGCACCUUUAGUUGUUAGUCAUACUGUUGAACUCUAUAAACCGUUUUCAACAUGUAACUAGGAUGACAAGGUGUCACGAUCCUAAAUUCAAACUUGUCAUGAUGACAUCUAUCCAUGGUACUAGGUCAGCCAACUUUCACAAUAUUUCUAUAAUUCAUAAUGAUAAGCCAAAACCCUUUUUAUAACAGGGUUUUCAGAUAAGAAAUAUGAGUUAAACUCAAUAUAGAAAUGUAGAAGGAAAGCCCCGAACAUCGGAGUGUCAUUAAGUCAUGAGCAUCUAAUAUAACUGGCCCGACAAUAACAAGAUUUAACAUAGUCUGAAAUCCAAAAAACAACUCAAGAAAGAUAAGGAAGAAGAAAAAAAAGCUGCGAAUGCCAGGCAGUUACCUUGCUAUCUCAAAACUGUUGCAAGCACUAUCAACAACCUUCCCGAUUAACUACUCAUGGAUCUGCAUACGAGGUGCACGGAGUAAUACGAGUACACCAACUCAGUAAGUAACUGAAAUAAAUAGAGAACUGAGAAGUAGUGACGAGCUAUACAAGUGUAGGCACACUUUCACUUCAGAGUUAAACUCAAAUCAGUUGAUUUAAAUCAAGUUCAGGUAGAUUCAGACAAAUUAUCUUUCAACAGUUUUCAAAGCAAGAAUAAGACAACUAUGUGCAACAUUGAUGAAAUCAUAUACUUCCCCUUGGGCAAUCAUCACUUAGUCCUCCCAAUCCCUCCAACCUCACAGCCACCCAUUCCUCACAAUCUCUCAGCUCUCAGCAUUUGGCACUCGCACUCAACAGGUACCUGCGCUCACUGGGGUGUGCAGGCUUCGGAGGGGCUCCUUAGCCCAAACGUUGCAUAAAUGCCAAUUAUGACAGAAUCAAUAAAACAUGUUGUGACGUAUAGCCUGAUCCCAUAAAUGUCCUCACAAUCAGGCCGUCAGCCUCACUCAAUCAUCAGUCUCUCAAGCUCUCAGAAAUCAAGAUAAUCAGCCCAAACAACAAUGACAUGAAGCAUCAAAUGGAAUAAAAGAGUCAAUCUUAUAGCCAAUCUUUCUAUAACACACAGGGAGCAUAUAGCUAACAAGAAGUUGUUAUACUUUACAGUUUUUUUGGGACGGACUAAGUCAUAAUCCCCAUUGGUACACGCCUACGCGCCCAUCACCUAACAUGUACGUCACCUCUAAAAUAGUCACUUGACACAAAAUUCGGAGAUUCAUACCCUCAAGACCAGAUUUAUAAAUGUUACUUACCUCAAUCCGAGAAAAUCUCUACUAUGCAAUGCCCUUACCUUUUGAAUCCGCCUCCGAACGUCCUGAAUAUAGCCACAAGUAGUAUAAUACCAUUAAUAUAUGCUAAUGGAAUCAAUUCUACAAGAAAAAACUACUACUAGAUUAGACUCAAAAUCCAAAAUUGGUUCAAACCAUGUCCCCGGAUCCACGUCUCAGAAUCCGGCAGAAGUUACAAAACCCGAAAUCCCAUUCACUCAUGAGCCUAACCAUACUACAUUUAUCGAAAUAUGACAUCAUUUUCCCCUCCAAAUGCCCAAAACUCACUCUUCAAUUCUCAACCCCUAGCCUCCCAAAUUUCACCUCAAAAACUCCCCAACUAGAUGUAAAAUCAGUGGGGAGACACCAUUAUUGAACAUAGAUAAGCAUAAGGAACUCACCAUAGUGAUUACUCUAAAAUCUCUCUAAAAAAACCCCCCAAAAUCCGAGCUCAAAUAUGUGAAAAUGGAAAAAUCCCAAAGUGUUCUAUUUAUACCUUUUGACUAGCAAAACGACAUCUGCGGUACCAUUUACGCUUAUGCGAUGCCUCACCUGCGGGAAUUCCAUCGCAGGUGCGGAUCCCACUUACUCUCCCAAAAUAUGCAUCUGGGGUCAAAUACUCGUACGUGUGAGUGCGCAUGCGGGCCCUGCCUACUUUCGUGAUCCUUUCUUCUAAGGCCCUUUUCUGCAUCUGUGCUCUGCUUCCACAUCUACGAUUCCGCAGAUGCGCUCCUAACCUUGUACCUGCACUUCCAGUCCACCUCAGCCUUGUCGGCACUUGUGAGCUCCUCUUCGCUUUUGCAGGGCUGCACUUGCAGGCUCCUCCCGGCAUGUGCGAAAAUACCAGAACCAGUAGUUUCGGCUGCACUUCUUCAAUUCCAAACAAUUCGUUAACCACCUGAAAUCACCCCGAGGCCCUCAGGACCACAACCAUAGAUACUGACACAUCCAAUAACAUCAUUAGAACUUAGUCGAACCUUCGAGUCACUCGAAACAACAUUAAAAUAUCAAAUUAACCUCGGAUUCAAGCCUAAGAACUUCUAAACUAUCAAGUUCCACAAACGAUGUCGAAACCCUCUAAACCUCGAUGAAUGACCUCAAAUUUUGCACAUUAAUCAAAAAUGACACCACGAACCUGCUCAAAUUUUCAGAAUUCCUUCCAUACCCGAUAUUAAAAGUUUCACUGCCGACCAAAAUCGUCAAUAUUCUAACUUUCGCCAAUUCAAGCCUAAUUCUACCACGGGUUUCAAAAUCACAUUUCGGAUGCUCUCCCAAGUCUAAAAUCACCUAACGGAGCUAACGGGACCAUCAAAAACCGAAUCCAAUAUAUUUUAUACAUAAGUCAACAUCCAAUGAAUUUUUUCAACUUAAGCCUCCACAUAAGAGACUAAGUGUCACAAUUCACUCUAAAAUUAUUCUCGACCCGAACCAGCUAACCUGGUAUAUCAUAAUACAAAUAUAGAACACAAAAGAAGCAGGGAACGUGGAAACAUGGCUAUACUCUCAAAUGGUCCAAUAAACCGAGGGAUCAACUUGCCCUUCUUCCAAAAUCUCAUUGUUACACCCUAUAUUUUCAUACGUGAAAGUACGCCAAAAAUAAAUUGGUGAGAGCUCGAAAAUGAAAUGUUACAUCCCGCAUUUUUUUACGUUAAAGUUUUAUCGUAAGUUAAUCGACGUAAGCUCGGAAAUGAGAUUAUUGUGGGAUUAUAAGUAUUAUGCUAUUUCAAACAAGGGAUAAGUAAAUUCGUGAAGGUGAGAGGGUAAGAAAAUCGAUGAAAAUAAGUUUCGUCGAAGUGUGGAAAUUUGAGAUAAGAUACAGUUCAAGGUAUAGUGCUACGUACUUAUGGACUAAUGUCACACAAGAUAUCACUUGACCAUAAUAGUAAAAUAUAUAAAAUAUAUUAAAAGUAAGUAGUAUUUUAGAUAAUUUAAAAUAAUUCUUAUUUAUGUAAAUAAUUAAUCAAUUAUGGAGAUCAUUAUGGUAUUAAGUUGAUAAGGGUAUUUUUGGGGCUGCCACAUGACAUAAGCUAAGUCAAUGUGGCAAAAUAUACAAAAUGAGUCAUAUGACAAAAUGAUACCUUGUUUACACGUAAGAGUGUUUGGUCUCUUUAUUGGUAAGGUAUAGGACUUUUGUAAAAUUAAGGAAAAUAACAUUCCUAUAUCAUUAAAAGAGAAAUGGCAAUGUCCAACGUGAAAUUUCUCUGAAAUACUACAUGGUACAACGUGAAAUGCUAAUUCAAAGAAAGUCUGAUACAAUCUUUCUCAAGAAUAUUAUACUGAUAUUUUUCUACUUCGAUAUGUUGUUACGUGUUUUCGCAAAAGAGAAUCGGUUCAGAUAUGUUAAAGCUAUCCUUUCUUUCCUUUUGGCAUGAUUCGUACGAUACAAACAAAAUGAACAAAUGCAUAAUUUUUAUAAAUAACUUUAUUCAUACAAAUACUAGAGAUGCAUAUGUUCUUGAUUUCUUGUGUGUCAUAUGAUGUUCUGAGAGAUUUUAUUGACGUACUUCUCAUGCAUUGCAUUCAUUUAUACAUGAAAAUUAACUCAUCACCAGAUGGAUAUAUAUAUAUAUAUAUAUACAUAUAUAUAUAUAUAUAUAUAUAUGUGUGUGUGUGUGUGUGUGUGUGUGUGUGUGUGUGUGUGUGUGUGUGUGGGUGGGUGUGUGUGUGGGGGGGUGUGUGUGAUGGGUUUUCAAUGUCUUUGCCAUAUGCUCCUUAUGUUUUGAUGGUCUAACAAACUUCUUGUGAAGAACCAGAUAGAGAACCUGACCCACGUGGUAUACAUUUCAAAUGAAUAAUGUCCAGUCUGAUCUCCAGCAAAUGAAUGACCAACCACAAGGAGGAACACAACAAGGACCAGGUGAUCUAGUCCCUUAGGGUUCUCUGACAGAAGUACAAGUCAGUGACUGUCCGCAACUAUUACAAAGAGGAACACAAUAUGGACCUAGUCCCUUAGGAUUAUCUGACAAAAGUACAAGUCAACUGUAUAGCAGCUGGAAAGUAACAAUAAAAAGUGACUGUCUCGCAACUGUCAUAGAAGAGGAACAUAAUAGGGACCUGGUCCCUUGGUGUUCCCUGACAGACGUACAAGUCAAUUGUACAGUAGCUGGAAAGUAACAGCUGAAAGUGACUGUUUCGCAAUUUUUACAGAAGAGGAACACAAUAGAGACCUGGUCCCUUAGUGUUCUCUGACAUAAGUACAAGUCAACUAUACACACCAAACUGCAUAAAAGUUACUGUGCAGCAGACAGUGCAUCAAUCAUUUCUCAUCGGGAAGAAGCGUGUACCACGAAUUGACAUCACCAUCCAUUUUGAUGUCUUUUGUAAUAUAACAACCUGGUUCAAGACACAAGAUUCACUCGUGCAUUUAGUGAUAUUCUCUCAAGCAUAACAAUGUUCAUCCGGCAUUGAAGUCACUGGUGUGUCAACAACAAGAAGACAACUCCUCUAAGGAUCAGUUUCAUAAUGAGUCUAUAUGUAUCCGCAGUUGAGUUGUAAUCUUUUUUCUUGUUCUUCAUUGUAUCUCUUAUCCUACUUUUUAUAUGCUUUGUCUUAAGAAAACCAAAAAUAUGUAAACUUCCGAGUUUAUGUUGUAACUAGGUUUAGUCAUAAGUUUAAAGGCUUUUUAACUAGAAGAGUCACAAAGUGGCUUGUGGUGAGAGCAUCACAAGUUAGUCAAAGUCUUUGUAAUAGAGUUAUUACAAAGUGACUUCUAAUAGUGAGAUUACAAGUUAGUAAAGUUAAAAGCCUACCAGCGUAAGUCGUGGUUUUUUUAUCCUAUUGUGUGGGAUUUACAUAGAAAUCUCUUGUCUUCUUUACUUACAAUUUUUAUUAAGUAUUCUCAAAAUAACCUCAUAUAGGACCAGGUACUCUACUGUUUGGUAGACUCAUACAAACUAAUAACUGGUAUUAGAGCGGGUUCUUUCUAAAAGGUUAACACCAAGAAAGGAUCUCAAUGACUGCUCCAACCAACUUUGAGGAAGGACAAUCAACCUACAUACCUCCUAGAUUCAAUGGUCAGUACUACGGCUCGUGGAAGACUCGCAUGCAUGAUUUUAUAAUUGCCAAAGAUUCAAAGCUGCGGGACAUCAUUUGUGAUGGUACACAUGUUCCUAUGAAAACGCUUGAAGAAACUGGGCCAAUGGUGCCAAAAAACAAAAGGGAGUACACUGAUAUUGACAGAAAAGCUGUAGAAAAGAACUAUCAUGCCAAGAAAAUCUUGGUGUGUAGCAUAUGACUUGAUGAGUACAACAGAGUCUCAGGUUGUGAUACUACCAAAGAAAUAUAGGAAGCAUUACAAACCGCACACGAACGAACUACUCAAGCUAAAUAGUCCAAGAUUGACAUGCUCACCACAGAGUAUGAGCUCUUUAGGAUGAAGGACGAUGAGUCUAUACAGGAUAUGAACACCAGAUUCACCUCCAUCAUAAAUGAGCUUCAUUCACUUGGAGAUGUUAUUCCCAGAAACAAGCUUAUAAGAAAAAUCCUCAGUGUUCUACCUAGCUCUUGGGAAAUAAGGUAAAUGCCAUCACAGAAGCUAAAGAUCUACAAAAUCUAACCAUGGAUGAGUUGAUUGGUAAUCUGAAGAUAUACGAAAUGAAGAGAAAGAAAGAUAGUGAAAAGAGAGAGCCGAAGAAGGAAACGAACCUAGUACUCAAGGCUGAAAGUAGUGACUUAAGUGAUGAAGAUAGUGAUAUGACCUAUCUUACUAAAAGGUUUCAAAAGAUGGUUCGAAGAAAUGGUGGUAUACCAAAGAAGGGAAGUUCAAGUAAGGAGAGGAACACUGAUCUCUGUCACAAGUGCGGAAUGCCAGGGCAUUUCAUCAAAGAUUGUCCACUCGCGAAGCAGGAGCAAUACAAAUAAUAUCCUGACAAAGCAACAAAAAUGAACCUGGUUCCAGUCAAACAAUUCAUUCAAAUAAGUGCAGCUGACAAUAUUGUGAAGCAGGCUCUUGCUGCUCGGGGAGACUCCUCCAGUGAAUCAGAAAGGGAACCAGAUGCAGCAAAAAGUUCCAUGAUGGUUGUGGAAACUGAAGUACCAAAGUACGACUCACUAUUUGCGAUGAUGGCUCGGUCUAAUAAGGAUGAAGAAGAUGAUGAUCAUGAGGUAAAUUUUAAGGAUGUUCGGAGAAAUCUAAAAUCCUACUGUUCUAUGAAGUUAAGGUCAUUAGUAAAUGUUUUAAUUGAUGCUUAUUAUAGCCUUGGCAACGAUAAGGAGAUCUUGACCUCAGAACUAGGUGAAGUUGAAUAAUCUAGAGAUGAUCUAGUGGUCUGUGUAGUGGACUUAAAUGAGACCAUAGCUAAUCCUGAAAAAGAAGGAAGCUCUAAAUGAAAAUAUAACUAGUGUAGAAAAUGAGAGAGAUGAUUUUAUUGUGGUUGUGGUUUACUUGAAGGAAAUAGUAGAAGGUCUCAGCAAUGAGAAACACACUCAAUGAUGAUUCACAUAUGGAAGAACCUGGUCCUUCAAAGUCUGAAGUUCAAGUAUCCAACUAGAAGCAAAAGUGUUCAUAUCCCUUCAAAAUGUAAUCACAUCCUUAGACUCUGGUAUUCAACCUAUUUCUAAGAAAGAGCACUUCUGGAACAAGACAUUUUCUGGUUUAUGCUUGAUCUAAUGGGGUACAAAAAGACAAACUAUGUGGCUCUUUCUACUGCUAAAGCUGAAUACGUGGUUGUUGCUUCUUGUUGGGCUCAAACAGUAUGUAUCAAGAAAAAUCUUAAAGACUUUGGUGUAUUUACAGCUUGAACCUGGUACAACACAAGAGGACAAGGCACAUUAAUGUGUGACAUCACUCUUUGAAGGAUGCUCUAUACUAUCCUUCAGGUAACAACUUCAACCUUAUUGGUUAUGCUGACGUUGACUAUGCAGGCUAUCUGAUGAAUAGGAAAAGCACAUCUGGAAUGGCUCGUUUUCAUGUUUUAUCUCAUGGGGUACAAGGAAACAAACUCAGUAGCUCUCUCAAUAGCUGAAGCAGAAUAUGUUGCAGCUGCCUCGUGUUGUGCUUAUUCACUGUGAAUCAAGAAAAAAUUGGAAGAUCUUGGUGUAUACACUGAUUGUGUACUGUUUCUAUGUGACACAACAGUGCUCUCAACAUGGCAAAGAACUCGGUUCAACACAAAAGAACCAAGCACAUUGAUGUCAAACACCAUUUACUUUGAUGCAAUUUUGAAAAGGUUCUGAUUUGUAUGAAGUUCUGGAAGACGAAAUAUCAGGUAGUAGACAUCUUCACCAAGGCACUGAGCAGGGAAAAUUUUUGAAAGAAAUCAUCUGGAUUUAGGGUUGAUCAAGCUCAACUAAGGACCUGGUCACUUAAUGAUUGGUUAUGUUAAGAAGGAAAGGUACAAUGCUAAAAUGUAUUCUUUCGAUGACAUCUAACUCAAAUCUGUAAUGUUACAGGUAUACACAUAUAGUAGUUUCAGGGCAAAAACAUGUAAGAGCUACAUUGCACUUCUAGGAGUCUUUGCCCAAAAUUUUCAAAAAUCGUCACGGAACCUGGUUCUUGUGACACAGGUUAAUAGUCUCUUCAACACUUAUAUGCCUUUUUAAGCUGCUGAAGUGUCAUGUCAUUAUUUUGUUUCUGCCUUUCUCUUACCUCUCCUCCUACCUUUUGAAGUCCAGAAUGUUAAAACUUUUUCUGAAUUGAUACGUUGCCCUAAAAAGGAACUUAUUUAUCUUAUACCCUAAUAAAAUCGAUUCUUUUCUUCAAAACCAAAAUCAGACUUGUCUCAAAAUAAUCCUUCUUUCCAAAUAUGCCAUAAGUGAACCUAACUCUCUCACUUUCCAAAAACCUAACUCCGUCGGAAUCAAAUCCCCAAGAACUCUUUGAUAGAUUUUGAUGGAAGUUUAACUAAAAGGGAAUAAGGUAGAUCUAAUAUUCUAGAGCAUAAGGAUAAUGUUGUUGCCAUAUUUGAAGAAGCUUUAAAGGAUAGAGAAAUUGGUAAAUGUGAGGAUUGAAUGAGGGACCUGAUCCCUCAAGUUAUUCUUAUGAAGUCAAUUUUAGUAAUUAUCUUUUUCUCUUUGAGUUCUGUGUAUAAACAAACUUCCAAUCCAGUAAAAAGGAUUGAUGAAAAGUAUGUUGAUUGAUGAUGUAGUGGUGUGACCUGUUGAUAUGAUUGUGGAAGAGAGAAUGAAAUAAAAUAUUUUCAUGUGAGAAACCAUUUAUAAAAAAAUGAUUGGCUGAGAAAGAUGCACCAUAUGAUAAGAGUAAACUGAUUGCGAAGAAAAAGAGGAAGAAAUUGCUGCUCAGGGAUAGAAAAGAUAGUGUAAGUGAUAAACCCGGUUCCUUACAUAAGCAAAAGGUUAAGCUAUUAGGUUUGGAGGGAAAAGACGUUGAAAUAUCAAAAAAUGUUGUAAGGCAGAGUGUUAACCCUGUUGUUGGUGAAAAAAUGGAGGAACUUCUUAACAUUGUUGAGUUCCAAGAAUAGAAUCACCUUGUUUAUCCUCCAAGCCCCAAUGUUUCUGAAGAAGUAAAAAAUCAUAUGUUUUACGUGAUACUAUGAUGCUAUAUGUGCAUGGGAGUGAGUCUGUUCUUGAUGAGACGAAGCUUGGGGAGAUUCUUGGUAAUCUGAUUGAUGGUUCAACCUACUCAGAUAGGUUGAGGACCUGGUUCUCGAGGACCCUUGGCAAAAUAGAAUGCUAAGUUGAAGGGUGAGAAUGAAACAUUGAGGAAACAGGUAAAGGAGUUGAGAGAGAAAAUGAUCAUUGAUCAAAGGAGAAUAGAUGGAAAAUCUCAUCACGAUCUUAGCCCCUUACUUUUCCUCCUGCCCGGUGACACUCCUUCCAAAUUCCCUUAAAUUCUUAUCUUCUUUUGAUCCCUAUAUUUGAUGAUAUUGGUACUUCUGUUGUUUAAAUUGUCAUAUUAUGUAUUGUUGAAACUACUGUGCGUUUAUCAUAAUUACUCCACUAUGGGCAAUCACUAUAUUUUGUGUAAUGACAUUCACUUGGCUUUCUUGUUAUCGUUUAUGCUGUGUUGCCCAAGUGGCAUGAGUUAAUGUUGUUGAACUUCUUUUUGGUUAUGUUUCUUCUAUUACUCUUUUUGAUGAUGCCAAAAGGGGGAAGUUAUGCGUUAUAUAGGUGUCAACAUGGGUGUGAAAGUUAGCUCUUCUUGGUGACAAAUAGUUGUGCAUUAAAGUCACUAUAGGGGAUAUGUUGUGUUGUGCGUGAAAGAUGGCUUUGCUUCGCAAGGGGAACAUUGUUGAUAGUAUGUUGAUUAUAGGAAUAAUAAUUUUGGGUUUGUCAUCAUCAAAAAAGGGGAAAUAGAUCUAAGUUACACUAUGUCAUGUUUUGAUGAUGACAAACAUUCUCAAUGAACUGGGUACGGACCAGAUGUGAUCAAUGCAUAUAAGGAAUCUGAUUCUCAGGUGGAAUAAUUCUGGGUACAGAAUAGAUAUGAUCAGUGUAUAUAAUGAAUCUGAUUCUCAAGGGGAAUAAUUCUAGGUUUGUCAUUCAUCAAAAAGGGGAAAAUUGAUAUGUUAUGGUACUUUGAGUUUUGAUGAUUUGCCAAACAGUCAUAAGGAACCAGUUGUGAUCAACUCCUUAGGUUCGGUUCUCAUGGGGAAUAUGGUUGAUUAGUAGGGGAACAAUGUGGAGAUUUGGUUCUCAAGGGUAAUAUCAAUUCUAAGUUUGUUGUCAUUAAAAAUGGGAAAAUUGAUAGGUUACAAGUACCUUGGGAAUAAGUACUUGACUUUAUUUUUUGAUGAUCUAACAAACUUACCAUCCAGAACCAAAUAAGAACCUAUUACCCAUUUACAAGACCUUGAGACCACAAAGUUCCAAGUUGGGAUCCGACGUGGAAUAUAACUCAAGACUUCAGAGUAGAAGGAACAACUGAGGGAAUAGAUCCCUACAAAUUCCCGAGGAGACAGUAUGAAGUCAACUCUCCAGCAGAAAAGUUGUUGCUUGCACACGCUACUGCACAAGAAUAGUGCAGCAGUAAACUUUCCAUGGAAGGCUUUAUACCUACCUUGCUUCCAUUAUUGUAAGUGAUGUCACACACGUAUGAAUACAAUCAAGGAAGGUAACACAACUUACUUCGUGAGAGAACCAGAUAAAGGACCUAAAGCAUACCUUGUAUAAUCAUUCAUGUUAAUCGACUCAAGAUAAUCUGGUCAGUAUGCCUUUAGAUUCACAGGAACCAGAUUAGGGACCUGAUAUGUUGGUGUUCCCCUAAUAGAAGUAUAAGUUAACUAUACAGCUAGAAAGCACCUGCAGAAAGUGACUGCCUACAACUGUACACGUGACAGCGCAGCAGUCAUUUCCCAUUGAGAAGAGGCAUGUACUAACCAAGAAUUGACAUCAAAAAGGUGAUGUCUUUAAUAGUAUAAACCUGGUGCAAGGCACAAGAAAUUUUCAAGAUUUGAAAAAAUAGAAAAUAAAAUAUUCUAUUAAGUGCUAAAACAACCUCUCAAGAACAAAGCUACUCCAACCUCAAGAACUGGAUCCAAGAUUUAAGAUAUCUUAAGUCCUUAGGUUUAUUGAGUAUUUGUUAUUUGUUCUUUAAUUGUAAAUCCUAUCUUGCUUUCCUAGAAGAUAUGUUUUAGGAAACCCAAAAUCACAAACCCUCAAAGUUUAUAUCUUGGCUAGAGUUAGUCGAGUUGUAAAGCCUUUGUAAUAGAGUUAUACAAAGUGGCUUGUAAUAGUGUUAUUUUAAGUUAGAGUGAUUGAAGUCUUUGUAAUAGAGUUAUUACAAAGUGGCUUGUGGAGAGAGUAUCACAAGUUAGUUAAAGUCUUUGUAUUUAGAGAGUCACAAAUUGACUUGUAGUGAGAGUACCACAAGUUAGUUUAGUUGAAUUCUAUGUAAAAGAGUCAUUACAAAGUGGCUUUAAAUAAGUGUUUACAAGUUAGUGAAGUUGAAAGUCUACAAGUGUAGGUCAUGGUUUCUGUCCCCUUGAGUUUGGAUUUUUCCACGUAAAAAUCUUAUGUGUUCCUUACUUACUGCCGAGCUACUGUGGGAACAAUUAGAGAACCUGAUUCCCUAUAUUGGUUGGUUUUACAGUCUGUUUCUUACAGUGGGAGCUGAUAGAGAAUCUAGUUCUCUAUGCAGUAGGAAGUUAUCAUAUGUCUAAUUUACAUAUUGUUCAAUUUUAGCACUGUGGGAACUAAUAUAUGACCAGAUCGCUAGACAAUUUGGUUCAUUAGUAUAUUCAGUGGAAACUCAUAGAGAAGCCGGUUCUCUAUACUGUUUGGUGGACGCUUAGUUUCUAACAGUGAAUCAGAUAGGAUAAUCGGAGCAUUAAAGCCAGUUUCACGGCUAAGAGGUAUUAACAAGAGUUGAACAUUAGACUUGCUAGAAGGAUUAGGCCACUCAACCCAAAAUGCAUUUCAUGGUCAUUGGAAUUGGUGUCCAUAUUUGAUAAGUUUCUAUUCGGUAGUUUUCUUGUUAGAUGUCUUCUCUUUCCAUUAUCCCCUUACCCUGAUCUUCUUGCUUUGUUUAAGUCCUCUUUUUGAGUCUGUUCUGUCAUAACAAGUGAGAAAUGACUUCAAAAUUUACUACUAGAUUUCUAAUUGCAUAAGCGAAGUCUGGUCUAGCACAUCAAGUGGCAUAAGUCAGGGAAAAGUGGCAUGCGCACUGAGUUGAUAAUAAUUGACGUGCUUUAAGAUUCGUUUGAAAUGCAAAGGUUUGAUAAAUAUAAAUUCAUGAGCAAAGUGCAACAGAAAGAGGAUAUUAGGCUCGAAUAGAUCGGAUGUGUUUUCUAUGAUAAGGGUUGACAAAAAAUGGUUAGUCAAUAAUAGGCAAGGUCUUCCAAGUUGAAGUCAAGGUUAUCAGGGCAAGUGUAGAAGCAGUUGCCUUCAAGGUCGAGGCCACAAACCAACCACCAUGUGUUAAACUCACAAGUUUUCUUUGUCUGAAACAAGGAUGAAGGCAAUGAUCAUAUCAAAGCUUGAAAGAUUGAAUUUUUCAGGUAUAAUGCCCCAAUUUAGUUUACACAGAGGCUGUUGAGAAUACCCAUACCUCCUAGGAAUUUUCCCCAGUUGAGAUGAAUCUUUGGCUUUCCUUGAUUGAGAUUUUACCCAUAGGAGAUUCACUUCCUAGUUUGGGUCAUUUAAGUUCAUUUCUAGGAGACGCACUUCCUAGUUUUUGUCAUUGAAGUUUCGCCCCUAGGAGACGCAUUUCCUAGUCUAGGUUUUUCAGGAUAUACUUUUAGGAGACGCACUUCCUAAAUUGAGAUUUUACCCCUAUGAGAUGCACUUCCUAGUUUGGUUCAUUUAAGUUCAUUCCUAGGAGACGCACUUUCUAGUUUUAGUCAUUACAAUUUCACCCAUAGGAGAUGCACUUCCUACUCUGGUUUUUUAGGAUAUACUUUUAGGAGACACACUUCUUAAAUUGAUAUUUUUCCCCUAGGAGACGCACUUCCUAGUUUGAUGUCAUUUAAGAUUCACCCCUAGGAGGUCUAGGUUUUUCUCAUUUCAUUUUAGGAAACAACACUUCCUAAUUUGAGAUUACAAGUUUCACUCCUAGGAGACACACUUCCUAGUGUGAUCGUUCAAGUUUUACCCCUAGGAGACGUAUUUCCUAGUCCAGGUCUUUCAGGUUAUACUGUUUAGGAGAUGCACUUGCUAAAUUGAGAUUUUACCCCUGGGAGACGCACUUCCUAGUAUGGGUCUUUCAAGUCAUAUUUUUUUUAGGAGAAGCACUUCCUAAAUUGAGAUUUUACCCCUAGAGAUACACUUCCUAGUUUGGGCCAUUUAAGUUUUACCCUAAGGAGACACAUUUCCUAGUUUGGGUCUUUCCGGUUAUACUACACGCACUUCCUAGUCUGGGUCUUUCAAGUCAUAUUUUUGUUUUAGGAGACGCACUUCCUAAAUUGAGAUUUUACCCCUAGGAGACGUACUUCCUAGUUUGGGUCAUUUAAGUUCAUCCCUAGGAGAUGCACUUCCUAGUUUGAGUCAUUGAAGUUUCACCCGUAGGAGAUGCACUUCCUAGUCUGGGUUUUCGAGUUAUAUUUUUGUUUUAGGAGAUGCAUUUCCUAAAUUGAGACUUCACCCCUAGAAGAUACACUUCCUAGUUUGGUUCAUUCAAGUUUCCUAGUAUAGGUCUUUUAGGUUAUACUUUUUAGAAGACGCACUUCCUACUCUAAGUUUGUCAGUUUUGCUUGAAGGAGAUGCACUUCCUAAGUUUUUAGUUUUAUUCACAGGAGACGCACAUCCUAGUCGAGUCUUCAAUUUUACUCUCAUCUUAGGUAAUUUGUAGUUUUUCUAACACUCACAAAUCUUCCUAGUGCAAAUGGGGGCAGAAAAAUUUCUUUUGUUUUGUCUGUUUUGCUGUAGUAGUAGCAGGCGCGCACCUAGAGAAUGAGGGAAGUCAUUUCAGAAUUCAAUUCAAGUUGGAAGUAGCAGAAGCUCGCCUCAAGAAUGCUAGUCGAUAGUCCAAGAUGACCAAAAGAAUGAGUCUCAACCCAUAAUAAAGUAAAAGAAAAAAAGAAGAAGAAGUGAAUCCAAAAUGUUGAAGCAGAUGAAAGAUAUGAACUGCUCAAGACAUGGCUAAAGUCACAACCACUGCAUGUCCUGUCUUGAUCCAAAGAAGCCGUGGAAGAAUGAAUUAGCACCUGCAGCUAUCAAGCAUCAGGGUUCAAUCAAAAGUCCGCAUGAAGAAUCAUUCAUGACUCAAGAUCAAGCUUCAGAAGACUUAAAGAUAGGAAUCGUGUAACUCAUAGCUGAUAGGCUUGCUUAGAUCUUUUAGAUUUUGAUUUUGAUAUAAUAACAUGACCGCAAACCGGAACCUCGAUAGAACGGUAUCUCACUCGACUUUUCCAUCCUUUCCACACACUCCAUCACUUCAUUCACUUAUGAACUACACGUGGCAUAAUUCCUUCAUAACCAAGGAUAUGUAGGCAGCUCAGAUACUAUGGCUCAGUCACAAUAUUUUACCUAUUUUUUUUUUUUUGAACAAGUGUCAGGUCAAAUAUCAAUUCCGCCGCUUACUUGUUUCUUUGCUCAAAAACACUUCGUGUUUCGGAGCAAAUAGGGGCAGCUGUAAGCACGUAAUUUUUGAAAUGCACAUUAGAAUUACCUUUAAUACUCCUAGUUUCAUAUUAUGAUAUAGUUUUACUUUAAUCAACUGGAAUUAAAUUUAAAUGGAAGAAGUUUUAGUUGGUUAAUUUAUGGACCUUUAGAAUUAAAGAUUCCAAAAUUUAAGCCCAAAUUCGGAUAGCCCAUUCCACUUAGCCCAGAACCCCCAUACCCAUCAGAUCUUUUACCUUAAAAAUUCAAAAAAAAAAAACUUACAAUAAAGGGAUCUUCUUCUUCAGAACAGAAUAGAGAAGCAGCAGCCAUAUCUCUCAUUUUUGAGAGACUCAACACCAUCUCUUGUUCUCCUAACAGCCAGAACGCCUCCCUCCCUCACUCUCUUGCCAUCAGCCGCACACCCCACCAAAUCGACACCUCGGUCACCCUAUUUUCCAAACCGCCAACCACCAGAUGACGCCAACCUCAGCUGAACCAAAACAGAGCAAGAUUUUGGGAUCGUCGUUUGUCGUUCUUAGUCUUCAGCGUCGUUCGAGUCUUGCUACUAGGUCGCGGUUCUAAUUUUGAGUUGUAGUUAUUUUCUUGCUGCGAUUUUUGAUUCAAAAUUCUGUAUUUGUAUUAUCAAAAGAAAGGUUCAACUUAAGGUUCAUCUCUGUACUCCCCCUUAACUUUUUUAUGGUAUUGAUCGGGAAAUAAUAGUAGUUGAGAUUUUGUUACAUUGGAAAGUAUUUAAUAAUAGUUUUCUGGUAAAUUUAUUUGUCGUUUGGGAUGAGUUUCAUAUACGUUUGAAUCUGCGUUUUUAUGGCUUAUAUAAUAAAUCUGACUUGUCCACAAUUUUAUGUAUGCCCCUGCAAUAUACUCCGGUGCCUCUUUUUUUUUUUUUUUUUUUUUU